CGAAUUUUAACAGAAGAAUUGAUCAAGCUCUAGAUCAACUGCGCCAGGGAAACUGAUCAAUAUUAUCGCGGGUCAUGCAUAGCGCUGAUUCCCAGCUGCGCUGAGACCCGAAAUGUUUGCAGUGUGUGCCACAGUUCCACAUUUUGGAGUCAUAGACGUUAGUUUGGAGUCAUAGAAGUUAGAUGCAACCAUGUCUUUUGUUGUGAUGGUGGCACUGCUGUUCUGUUCUGAGACACUCGGGUCACAUCCUGUGUUUGGAGAGGAGGAUAAUAUAUAUACUUAUGAUGAUGAUGAUGAUGACGGCUGGAAUGCAUCGGAGAUGGAAGGCGAUUUCUUUAAUCCAUUCAUGGAAAUAGAAGAAUUCUUUUAUUAUCCAUUGUUUGCAGUUAACCUGAUAGUGGUCUCCAUGUUCAACAACUCAGACUCCUGUAACCUUACUGUGACCUGCAGUGCACAUAACUUUGAAAUCAACAGCAUUUUUAAAUGUGAUAACAAAUCCUGCCAUCAAGAGGGAGGAGAACAAAGAGAGACCUGGGAAUGGCCCAGUGUUUCUCUUCAUGUCUACCUGUCAGAUGGAUCCAUCAUAUGUAACCAUAGCAAUAAAGUAAAGUGGACCAAGGACAUGGUAGAGAUUGGACAUUUUUGUCCUCAAAAUGCUGGUUCUGAGAGUUUCUCUGACGGUGUCUCCUUCUGUAUGGUGAAGACAGUCGUGUUCUCUGUUAGUCUGAUCAUCAUGGUGUCUGCUGUCAUCAGUGUUCACCUCAUAAAGAAAUUUCAGAUGCAAAACUAAAGAAAAAAAAAAAAGGACGCACAUCUAUGCAUGAAACCGUUCAUAUACCUUUACAUGAACCCCACAGGGCAUGUAUGAUUAGUUGUCAAUGAAGUCCACCAAAUGCUUAGUUUAUAAAUAGAACUGCUUUUUGCUGAUGUUAAAAAUGUUUUUUUAGGAUUUCAUCGUAGGAAAAAAGUAUUUGGGAGGCUAAGCAGGUUUUUGACUUUUGAAUGUUUGGUAUAUAUCACUCUUGAUUGUAGACAUUUCUCCUGUUUGCUAUUUA
ensembl:lncRNA